AGGAUGAACGCUGGCGGCGUGCUUAACACAUGCAAGUCGAACGAUGAUCCCGGUGCUUGCACCGGGUGAUUAGUGGCGAACGGGUGAGUAACACGUGAGUAACCUGCCCCCGACUCUGGGAUAAGCCCGGGAAACUGGGUCUAAUACCGGAUAUUCACUUCCCUCCGCAUGGAGGGUGGUGGAAAGAUUCAUCGGUGGGGGAUGGACUCGCGGCCUAUCAGCUUGUUGGUGGGGUAAUGGCCCACCAAGGCGACGACGGGUAGCCGGCCUGAGAGGGUGACCGGCCACACUGGGACUGAGACACGGCCCAGACUCCUACGGGAGGCAGCAGUGGGGAAUAUUGCACAAUGGGCGAAAGCCUGAUGCAGCGACGCCGCGUGAGGGAUGACGGCCUUCGGGUUGUAAACCUCUUUCAGUAGGGAAGAAGCGAAAGUGACGGUACCUGCAGAAGAAGCGCCGGCUAACUACGUGCCAGC
rnacentral:rRNA from 1 species